CUCAGUUGCUCUGUUAAACAGCAAAAUUCCCAAGUCCUCAUCUCAAUGAGCCACUGAGGCCGAUGAAGAGGGCCUGUCUCAUUUAGGACAUGAGUGGCCAGGCGGGUGCCACAGGCCCUUUUCCUGGUGACAACAAAGCCAUUGCAUGGCUCCAGGAAGGCCACAUCAUUUCCUGGGUUUCGUAGGCGCCUGCGGGGCGGAAACAGUUCAGCAGGGCCCUCCUGAUCACAAGGACGAGGUCAUACCGGCUGCUGCAUGGCAGGGCUGCACUCUGCCAGGGAGCGUCCUGUGAUGGAGGGGCUGCACUGCCACUUUACUGAUGAGGAAAUUAAGGUUCAGAGAGAUGAGGUCAUUUCUUAGAGGCCAGACAGCCUCCUCAGCCCAUUUAUAAGGUUGUUUCUGUGGUAUUUGCCAUAAAGCCAUAGGUUCAUUGAUUUGUUCUUAAGUAGUUCUGAGCCCUUCCUGCAUAUCAGGCAGGGACAAACAGGAAAGUCCCUGCCUUUGGCAAGUGCGGGGGAAAUGAAAUGAUUCUGCUUAGCCGCAUCCAUUGGUCUGAACAAUCACGUCUCAUGACCGCAGGGACGCGGCUUCCCCUGAAUGCGGAUCCUAGAGGCCAGGCAGAAGCAGCAUGGGUUUCCACUCACACGAUCUAUCUACUGCUCAUGAAAUCUCUGGAUUUAACUCUGAUGAAAGACUGGAGGCUGAAGGAGAACUUCAAUAUCAUAUAUUUUAAAGGUUGACUCACAGUUUGGAGCAAGAAUUAAAGAACCACGAACUUCAAGGUAAAACGGGCAACGGCGUUGGGGCAAGCCUCUCUGCACCUGCGUGUCCAGCCUCUCCUGCAUGCCAGAAGUCCCCAGGCAGGAGUGUGGUGGGACAUCCGGCUGGGGUAAGGACAGGCACCCUCCCACAGUGUCAGGGCCCAGAGAGUGGGUGGAGAAGCUCUGCAAGAGACCUGUGCAAGGGCGCCUUGUAGGAGCCUGCAGUCCCCACAGGUGUGUUUGUGGAUAACACUUGGGGAGCCCUGGCCUUUUGGGGUCAUGGAGGGCUUGGCCUCUCACCUCAGAGCUGCGGAGGAGCCGCUUCUACAUCAGGACAUCAGAAGCUGGAACAGGAUGACCGGCAAGGGGCCUCUGGUUGGGGUCACAGAGAUGGGUCGCAGAGAUGGCCCGUGUGGAAGGUGAUGUAAAAUUCUCAAACAAUGAGAUAGAUAAAAAGUACGCAGCCAAAAAGUUCAAGAAGAAGUGUUAUGGAGAUGGAGCAGGCCCUUCGUAAAAACACGAUGUUGGUUUUCUGGAUUUUGUAUGUUUGCUUUUUUUUUUUCCUCAUCCUAAAGAAAUAUUCACUGUCAUACCUAAUU
rnacentral:lncRNA from 1 species